UAGACAAAGGUAACCCGGGACUCCCAUCCAAGUCUCUGUGAAUCCAAAACUUAUAUUUGUAACUACUGGCCUCCCUGGCCCUCCUCACUAACAGGUGAGGACAUCAGUUCAAGGGGAGGGGUUUUAUGCACUCCAAGCCACAGGCUUCCUGCUGUUCAAUUCUUCUCUCUUUCUUUUCCUUGGAGACAUCCCGGGAUGUAAAAACUCAAGACGAAUUUCAUCUCUGGGUGGUUUUGCAAGGAGGGAAGAAAUCUUGAUCUAUGUGAUGCUGGUGUCGAUGAGUUGGUCUGUGAUUUACAGAAAAAUUGAGAAGAUAAUACAGAGUCCCCAUAUAUCCAACACUCAGUUGUUUCUACUGUCAUUUCACCAUGAGGAUGGACCUCAUCCAGGAUGUGACAUUACAUUUAGUUGUCACGUCUCCUUAGGAUCCUGUUGCUUGCUACAGUUUCUCAGACUCUUCUUAUUUUUGAUGACCUUGACAAUUUUGAGAGGUAUUGAUCAGGUAUUUUGAAUAUGCCUCCACUGGGAUUUGCCUAAUGCUUUUCCUAUGAUUGGACUGGGGUUAUGGGUUUUGAGGAGGAAGCUCAUGGAGGUAAAGUGCCAUCCUUAUAGCAUCAUACAAAAGAUACAUACAAUAAACAUGACUUAUCACAGUCCAUGUUGACUUUGACCACCCGGCUAAUUUGUUUGUCAGGAUUCUCCACUGUAAAGUUGCUAAUUUUCCCUCUUUCCACACUGUACUCAUAAAUUUUUUUUAUUAUUGAAGUAUAGUUGACAUACAAUGUUAAUAUUAGUUUCAGGUAUAUGACACAGUGGUUUGACAAUUUUGUACAUCACACAACACUCACCAAAAUUAAUUAUAGUUACCAUCUGUCACCAUAUAACAUUAUCACAAAAUUAUUAACUAUAUUCUCCAAGCUGUACAUUCCCAUGACUUAUUUCUUUUACAACUGGAAGUUUGUACUUCUUA